GGGCCGGUAGAUCAGCGGCAGAUCACCCGGUUUGCACCCGGGAGGCCGCGGGUUCGAAUCCCGCCCGGUCCA
rnacentral:tRNA from 2 species